rnacentral:rRNA from 1 species
ACACAUGCAAGUCGAGGGGCAUCAGUUUGGUUUGCUUGCAAACCAAAGCUGGCGACCGGCGCACGGGUGAGUAACACGUAUCCAACCUGCCUCAUACUCGGGGAUAGCCUUUCGAAAGAAAGAUUAAUAUCCGAUAGCAUAUAUUUCCCGCAUGGGUUUUAUAUUAAAGAAAUUCGGUAUGAGAUGGGGAUGCGUUCCAUUAGUUUGUUGGGGGGGUAACGGCCCACCAAGACUACGAUGGAUAGGGGUUCUGAGAGGAAGGUCCCCCACAUUGGAACUGAGACACGGUCCAAACUCCUACGGGAGGCAGCAGUGAGGAAUAUUGGUCAAUGGACGCGAGUCUGAACCAGCCAAGUAGCGUGAAGGAUGACUGCCCUAUGGGUUGUAAACUUCUUUUAUAUGGGAAUAAAGUUGUCCACGUGUGGAUUUUUGUAUGUACCAUAUGAAUAAGGAUCGGCUAACUCCGUGCCAGCAGCCGCGGUAAUACGGAGGAUCCGAGCGUUAUCCGGAUUUAUUGGGUUUAAAGGGAGCGUAGGCGGAUUGUUAAGUCAGUUGUGAAAGUUUGCGGCUCAACCGUAAAAUUGCAGUUGAUACUGGCAGUCUUGAGUGCAGUAGAGGUGGGCGGAAUUCGUGGUGUAGCGGUGAAAUGCUUAGAUAUCACGAAGA